AGCACACGCUCCAUCGUAUUCUACGUUUCAACACGAAUUUCUGAGAAGUUUCCGGCUCGUUGGGAAUAUCGCGUAAGACCAAAAAGGAAUAAUUUCUCGCGAUUCUCGUGUUUACACGAGCAUGAAAGCUGGGAAAAAAUCGUGACUCACGACUCGUCCUGCACUUUCUUUUCGCAAGAAUUCCCAUCAAACUGGCAACAUAAGCAUACGAGAUUUGACCAACGAAUAUUGCACGUGAGAGUCUUUCGCAACAACUCGUUUCGACGAAUUCAUUCGUUCCCUUCAUCGCCAAAAUAAUAAUAAACAACGUCGACGAAGGAUAAUGUCGUAACGAGCAAAACAUUGAAGAAAUGUAUGUGAUUGACGUUAAUCACCGUGCGUAAAGAAGCUGUGCGUGAAUCUAAUACGAGCUACUGCGAUCGCAACGGUGUCCGCACUCGCAUGUCAGCCUCGUGCGUUGCGUUGUCAUUAGCAUGAUCGCACGCAUGAUUCUCGUAAUUGUUACAUGCUGAGAGGUGGAUUGAUGCUCACGAGAUUAAUGUUUAGACAAAAAGAGAACGCCGAGACAGGGAGACAGAAAUAGAUUCGUAUCGAGUUUGCGCACGGCCUUGUUACUUAAUACUACUUAAAUGUCGCUCCUCCCGUUCUGUGCGCCAAUGCCGAGGGAGCUAAGGACGAUACGAUUUGCGGACUUUAACCCUUCGCGUGCUCACGGAUCUCUCGAAUGGACAGCGCAAUUUUAAUCCUUUGCGGCGGACUGUCGCAGCGUUUCAAUUAUUUUCAGAAAACGGAGUAUCUCAAGCUGCGUGGGUCUUCAAGCAGAGUUUCUUCAUUCAACAAACCAUUUUGUAUCUGUGCACAGCGCGUUAAGGAAGUUGAGGCUGUACAGUCAUUUUUUUUACCCAAAAGUGAUGACCUGUACCUUUCAAAAGUUAGGCCAGUUUACAGUUUGGCAAUGUUGCAUACACUUUAAAGAAAAGUUGGGGAAAAAAAGACGAAAAACUGGUGAAAGCUCAGUCGAAAACACGAACAGUAACGAUCCUAGUCUUAAAAAACUGCACGAAAAACAGAUUAUUAUUAAUAUAAUCUCAGCAAAUCUCCUAAUAAAUCUGAAAAAAA